rnacentral:rRNA from 1 species
GCAGGUACCGUCAAACUCCGGAGGGGCACCACCGGAGCCUUCUUCCCUGCUGACAGUGCUUUACGACCCGAAGGCCUUCAUCACACACGCGGCGUCGCUCGGUCAGACUUUCGUCCAUUGCCGAAGCCUCUAG